rnacentral:misc_RNA from 1 species
AGACCUUCAGCUUUACCAUUUUCAUCCAGGGCGAUGAGUAAUGUUAAAUCAUCACUAGGAUCAGCUUGACCCACAUGCUGAUAAAGUGGACCGACAGGGAUGAUUGAUCCACCAAGCAAAUAUAGUGCAGGUAAAUCCGGAUGUGAAUCGUCAAAAUCAAAACUCAACCAAAUGCCCCUUGGUAAUUUGUGAUGAGCUGUAUCCAAUUCCUCAUCACGCUGAGUGCUUGCAUAUAUAAGAAUUGGUCCCAGCAAAAAUGAGUUCUCAAGUUUCCUCAGCUCGGGGUCUUUUGGAUCAGCAAAAAAGAUAGGAGCAGAGACCGGAGUACCCCUCGUGUGUGCUAAGUAAAAGAGUGUGUAAAUGUGUGGUAGAAGACGGUAGCGCCGCUCCAAUGCCAAGCGGCAAACUUCCUCGCACUCCUCCCCAAAUGACCAAGGUUCGUGAUCAUUUGUGUCAGCCUCAGAAUGGGCACGGCAGAAGGGAAACAGGGAACCAACACCCAUCCACCUCCCAAACAUCCGGGGAGUUGCAUUUCCAGCAAAGCCACCUAUAUCUGGUCCUGUAAGUGGCUGACCACUGAGCCCCAGUUGAAGAACCAUGGGGAUACUCAUCU